UACGAAGGGGGCUAGCGUUGCUCGGAAUGACUGGGCGUAAAGGGCGCGUAGGCGGAUUGCUUUGUCGGGCGUGAAAUUCCAGGGCUUAACCUUGGGGCUGCGUUCGAGACGGGUGAUCUUGAGUUCGGAAGAGGGUCGUGGAAUUCCCAGUGUAGAGGUGAAAUUCGUAGAUAUUGGGAAGAACACCGGUGGCGAAGGCGGCGCCUGGUCCGACACUGACGCUGAGGCGCGAAAGCGUGGGGAGCAAACAGG
rnacentral:rRNA from 1 species